rnacentral:rRNA from 1 species
GAUGAACGCUGGCGGCGUGCCUAAUACAUGCAAGUCGAGCGGACGGACGGGAAUUUUUCUUCUCUUCUGUGAGCGACGGACGGGUAAUUAAUACGUAGAUAACCGACCUAGAGGACUGGGAUAACGUCGCGAAAGCGGAUCUAGCAUCGGUUGAGAUGUUGAACCGCAGGGUUCUAAAGUGAUAGACGGUCUUGCUGUCACUAAGUGAGGUAUCCUCGCUGGAUUAGCUAGUUGGUAAGGUAACGGCUUACCAAGGUUACGAUGCAUAGCCGACCUGAGAGGGUGAUCAGCCACACUGGAACUGAGACACGGUCCAGACUCCUACGGGAGGCGGCAGUAGGGAAUCUUCCGCAAUGGGCGAAAGCCUGACGGAGCAACGCCGCGUGAGUGAUGAAGGUCUUCGGAUCGUAAAGCACUGUUAGUAGGGAAGAACAUAUGUGUGAGUAAAUGUGGACGUCUUGACGGUACCAACAGAGAAAGCAACGGCUAACUACGUG